rnacentral:rRNA from 1 species
UACAGAGGUCCCAAGCGUUGUUCGGAUUCACUGGGCGUAAAGGGUGCGUAGGCGGUCGGGUAAGUCUGAUGUGAAAUCUCACAGCUUAACUGUGAAAACUGCAUUGGAUACUAUCCGGCUCGAGGAAUGGAGGGGAGACUGGAAUACUUGGUGUAGCAGUGAAAUGCGUAGAUAUCAAGUGGAACACCAGUGGCGAAGGCAGCACUCUGGGACGUGACUGACGCUGGAGACGCGAAAGCGUGGGGAGCAAACAGG